GAUGAACGCUGGCGGCGUGCCUAAUACAUGCAAGUCGAGCGAACGGACGAGAAGCUUGCUUCUCUGAUGUUAGCGGCGGACGGGUGAGUAACGCGUGGAUAACCUACCUAUAAGACUGGGAUAACUUCGGGAAACCGGAGCUAAUACCGGAUAAUAUUUUGAACCGCAUGGUUCAAAAGUGAAAGACGGUCUUGCUGUCACUUAUAGAUGGAUCCGCGCUGCAUUAGCUAGUUGGUAAGGUAACGGCUUACCAAGGCAACGAUGCAUAGCCGACCUGAGAGGGUGAUCGGCCACACUGGAACUGAGACACGGUCCAGACUCCUACGGGAGGCAGCAGUAGGGAAUCUUCCGCAAAGGGCGAAAGCCUGACGGAGCAACGCCGCGUGAGUGAUGAAGGUCUUCGGAUCGUAAAACUCUGUUAUUAGGGAAGAACAUAUGUGUAAGUAACUGUGCACAUCUUGACGGUACCCAAUCAGAAAGCCACGGCUAACUACGUG
rnacentral:rRNA from 1 species